rnacentral:rRNA from 1 species
AGAGUUUGAUCCUGGCUCAGGAUUAACGCUCGCGGUGUGCCUAAUACAUGCAAGUCGAACGGAAACUUUUGUAGCAAUACUUAAGUUCAAGUGGCGAACGGGUGAGUAACACGUAGGUAACUUGCCCUCAAGUGGGAAAUACCUCUGCGAAAGCGGAGCUAAUAUCGCAUGAGAAUGGGGGGUCAUAAGACAUUCCCAUUUAAAGUCGUAAGACGCUUGAGGAAAGACCUGCGGCCCAUCAGCUAGUUGGUAGGGUAAUGGCCUACCAAGGCUAUGACGGGUAGCUGGUGUGAGAGCACGACCAGUCACAGUGGAACUGAGACACGGUCCACACUCCUACGGGAGGCAGCAGUAGGGAAUCUUCCACAAUGGACGAAAGUCUGAUGGAGCGACACCGCGUGAGGGAUGAAGGCCUUCGGGUUGUAAACCUCUUUUCUGAGGGAACAGUUUGAGUGUACCUCAGGAAUAAGCAACGGCUAACUACGUGCCAGCAGCCGCGGUAAUACGUAGGUUGCAAGCGUUAUCCGGAAUCACUGGGCGUAAAGCGUCCGCAGGUGGGAAAGUAAGUCGAAUAUUAAAGCCCGGUGCUUAACAUCGGAACUGUGUUCGAAACUAUUUUUCUAGAGGAUGGGAGAGGCAAGUGGAAUUCUCGGUGUAGGGGUAAAAUCCGUAGAUAUCGAGAGGAACACCAAAAGCGAAGGCAGCUUGCUGGAACAUUCCUGACACUCAUGGACGAAAGCGUGGGGAGCGAAAAGGAUUAGAUACCCUUGUAGUCCACGCCCUAAACGAUGAGCACUCGGUGUAGGAGGAGUCGAUCCUUCCUGUGCCUGAGCUAACGCGUUAAGUGCUCCGCCUGAGUAGUACGGCCGCAAGGCUAAAACUCAAAGGAAUAGACGGGGGCCCACACAAGCGGUGGAACAUGUGGUUCAAUUCGAUAACAAACGAGGAACCUUACCAGGUCUUGACAUCCUACGAACCUCUCGGAAACGAGGGGGUGCCCGCAAGGGAGCGUAGAGACAGGUGCUGCAUGGUUGUCGUCAGCUCGAGCCUUGAGGUGUACGGUUAAGUCCGUGAUCGAGCGCAACCCUCGCCCUUAGUUAUAUAUUUCUAAGGGGACUGCCGUGCCAUAAGCCGGAGGAAGGUGGGGAUGACGUCAAAUCAGCAUGGCCCUUAUGACCUGGCUACACACAUGUUACAAUGGUCGGUACAGUUGGAAGCAAUGGAGCAAUCCGGAGCCAAUCCAGAAAGCCGACCUCAGUUCGGAUUGAGGGCUGCAACUCGCCCUCAUGAAGUUGGAAUCGCUAGUAACCGUGAAUCAGAUAUGUCACGGUGAAUAUGUUCCUGGGCCUUGUACUCACCGCCCGUCAAGUCAUGGAAGCCAGAGGCACCUGAAGUCCCCGUCUAGGGGCCCACGGUGAAACUGGUGACUGGGACUAAGUCGUAACAAGGUA